rnacentral:rRNA from 1 species
AGCGAACGCUGGCGGCAGGCUUAACACAUGCAAGUCGAGCGGGCACCUUCGGGUGUCAGCGGCAGACGGGUGAGUAAAACGUGGGAACGUACCCUUCGGUUCGGAAUAACGCUGGGAAACUAGCGCUAAUACCGGAUACGCCCUUAUGGGGAAAGGUUUACUGCCGAAGGAUCGGCCCGCGGCUGAUUAGCUAGUUGGUGGGGUAACGGCCUACCAAGGCGACGAUCAGUAGCUGGUCUGAGAGGAUGAUCAGCCACACUGGGACUGAGACACGGCCCAGACUCCUACGGGAGGCAGCAGUGGGGAAUAUUGGACAAUGGGCGCAAGCCUGAUCCAGCCAUGCCGCGUGAGUGAUGAAGGCCUUAGGGUUGUAAAGCUCUUUUGUCCGGGACGAUAAUGACGGUACCGGAAGAAUAAGCCCCGGCUAACUUCGUG